rnacentral:rRNA from 1 species
GCCAGACUCCUACGGGAGGCAGCAGUGGGGAAUAUUGCACAAUGGGGGAAACCCUGAUGCAGCGACGCCGCGUGAGCGAAGAAGUAUUUCGGUAUGUAAAGCUCUAUCAGCAGGGAAGAAAAAAAUGACGGUACCUGAGUAAGAAGCACCGGCUAAAUACGUGCCAGCAGCCGCGGUAAUACGUAGGGAGCAAGCGUUGUCCGGAAUUACUGGGCGUAAAGGGCGCGUAGGUGGGCGCUUAAGUCAGGUGUGAAAACUCCGGGCUCAACCUGGAGACUGCACUUGAAACUGGGUGUCUUGAGGGCAGGAGAGGAAAGUGGAAUUCCUAGUGUAGCGGUGAAAUGCGUAGAUAUUAGGAGGAACACCAGUGGCGAAGGCGACUUUCUGGACUGUACCUGACGCUGAGGCGCGAAAGCAUGGGGAGCGAACAGGAUUAGAUACCCUGGUAAC